CUGUAGUGGAAUCGAAUAUUGAAGGAAUCUUUCGAGCUUAUCGCAAACCCACUACACAAAGACCGAACAGUCAACAACAAGAACAACAAAAGGGCAGUAAAAUUUCCUGGAAAAUCCAGGAAAAGGAUUCAAAUUUUUGUUGUGAAACUCACCUGUUAUUUUGAUUGAAAGAAGCAGAGUAGAUAGAGGAUGGAGAGGACUGAUUCGCCAUGUCGCCAAAUUGUGAAAGACGAUCUAUGUUUCGUCUACAAGGAGUUGCUUUCUGUUUACUUUAUAUAUAUGCUCUGUUUUCGUCUUCCUCCUCUUGUCCUUAACUUCUUCCUCGUCCUCAUUCUUGCUUUCUAUAAUAUUCAUCUUCUGUCAAUCCACGAAAGAAAGAGAGAACAAUUGGGUUUAAUUUUUUUUUCUUUAAAAUACUACCCUAUCAAAAAGUGACACCUAUACUUAGAAUUGGCUCCAAAAAUUCUAUUUUUAGAACCAUAUCUAUCUAUUUUUCCUCUUUUGGAUUUAAUUUUGAACAUAUAAUUACUUAGAACCAUGAGAUAGAACCCUCAUGGAUACCCCAUUAUUGAUCUACUUUUCCAGGAACUUGAAGAAGAGUCAAAUGGGCCACCAGAUCUUCCUACCUUGCAAACGAGGAUAAAAGAGAUUGUUAAAAUGUUGUCGAAUUUUAAGGAUUUGAGGCCAGAAGAAGUGAAGAAGAAGAAAUUUGUUGAAUAGAUUAAGGCUGAUAUUGGUUCUUAUUACGGCUAUAAUGAGUUUCUUAAUGGAAUUCUGGUUCAGAUGUUUCCUCCUGUUGACUCAUGGAACUAAUCGAAGCUUUUGAAAGCAAAGGCCUACGUCUAUACGCCCACACUCUUAAGACUCGGUGACGGGAUUUGGCUGAUGUACUUUUGAACAGAGGAGUUGAUCUAGAUCCAUUAAGCAAGUGGUCAAAAGCUGGACUUGUCGUUUAUGAUUCACAAGUUCCAAAUGGUGCAACUUCUGAGUAUAUGCUGGUUUCUAUAUGUGGGUCGCUUGAUGGGCAGCAAUGGUUGGUUGUUAAGGGAAGAUUUGCACCCAAGAAUUCCGAAGAGAUC